GACGAACGCUGGCGGCGUGCCUAAUACAUGCAAGUAGAACGCUGAAGGAGGAGCUUGCUUCUCUGGAUGAGUUGCGAACGGGUGAGUAACGCGUAGGUAACCUGCCUGGUAGCGGGGGAUAACUAUUGGAAACGAUAGCUAAUACCGCAUAAUAUUGACUAUUGCAUGAUAGUCAGUUGAAAGGUGCAACUGCACCACUACCAGAUGGACCUGCGUUGUAUUAGCUAGUUGGUGGGGUAACGGCUCACCAAGGCGACGAUACAUAGCCGACCUGAGAGGGUGAUCGGCCACACUGGGACUGAGACACGGCCCAGACUCCUACGGGAGGCAGCAGUAGGGAAUCUUCGGCAAUGGACGGAAGUCUGAACGAGCAACGCCGCGGGAGUGAAGAAGGUUUUCGGAUCGUAAAGCUCUGUUGUAAGAGAAGAACGAGUGUGAGAGUGGAAAGCUCACACUGUGACGGUAUCUUAACAGAAAGGGACGGCUAACUACGUG
rnacentral:rRNA from 1 species